GGGCUAUCUCGGUUGCAAGAUCUUUGAGUAUUCUAGGUUUUAGGUUGUCUGGUCCUGAAGCUUUAUUUGGAUUCAUUUUUUUAAGAAGUUUUUGCACUCCAUUUUCUGUAAUGAUAAGAUCUUCAGCAGAAGGGUAUUGACCUGGCAUGUUACAACGAGAUUUGAAUUCUUCUGGACUAUAUGUCUCUUUGGAAGAGAAUGCAGAUUGAAACUGCUUAUUCAGGAUUGUUGCUUGGUCCACAGGAUGCGAGUGAAGUACUCCAUCACUACGAAGUGGUGCCACUCCGCUGCUAUCAGUCUUCAUAUGUUUGAUAUAAGUCCAGAAACGUUUCAUAUUGCUGUGUGGUUGGGUUUCUUCUUUAGGUGUUACUAUAUUUUCGAUGUACUUCCAAUAUGCACGACGUAGUUCUUUCUGUACUUUUUGCCUGGCUUCUUUGAAUUUUGAUGUAAUCUUAGGAUCCGCUGACUUUUUCUUUCUUUUGUAUAGUCUGUCACGGCGGCGUAUUAAUUUACGUACAUUUGGUGUUAGCCAAGGUAAG
rnacentral:lncRNA from 1 species